rnacentral:piRNA from 1 species
UGAGAUUGUAAGGGCCAACUUUGAGGGA